GCCUCGGUAGGCGCAGUAGGCAGCCGUCAGUCUCAUAAUCUGAAGGUCGUGAGUUCGAUCCUCACCCGGGCA
rnacentral:tRNA from 1 species